rnacentral:sRNA from 2 species
UACUAGCCCUGAUAGCAGUGGAAAUCCUUUUUUCACGCUUUUUUGCGUGGAAAAAGAUUGUAACGAAUAGCAGGAAAUAGC